rnacentral:misc_RNA from 1 species
GAAAUGCGAUAAGUAAUGUGAAUUGCAGAAUUCAGUGAAUCAUCGAAUCUUUGAACGCACAUUGCGCCCGCCAGUAUUCUGGCGGGCAUGCCUGUUCGAGCGUCAUUUCAACCAUCAAGCCCUCGGCUUGUGUUGGGGACCUGCGGCUGCCCGCAGGCCCUGAAAAACAGUGGCGGGCUCGCUGUCACACCGAGCGUAGUAGCAUACAUUCUCGCUCAGGGCGUGCUGCGGGUUCCGGCCGUUAAACGACCUUCAUAACCCAAGGUUGACCUCGGAUCAGGUAGGAAGACCCGCUGAACUUAAGC